rnacentral:rRNA from 1 species
CUUCCAUCUGGAAGAAUCUGGAGACAGGUGCUGCAUGGCUGUCGUCAGCUCGUGCCGUGAGAUGUUGGGUUAAGUCCCGCAACGAGCGCAACCCUUGCCUUUAGUUGCCAGCAGUUCGGCUGGGCACUCUAAAGGGACUGCCGGUGUUAAACCGGAGGAAGGUGGGGAUGACGUCAAGUCCUCAUGGCCUUUAUGACCAGGGCUACACACGUACUACAAUGGCCGAUACAAAGGGCAGCGACACUGCGAGGUGAAGCCAAUCCCGUAAAAUCGGUCUCAGUCCGGAUUGGAGUCUGCAACUCGACUCCAUGAAGUUGGAAUCGCUAGUAAUCGUGGAUCCAGCAUGCCACGGUGAAUACGUUCCCGGGCCGUU